AUUUCUUUAAAGCGAUGGUGAUGUGUGCUAUUAUUUCAGAUUAUGACUGUUAGCUGACAAACAUAACAUGCUCUUGCUGUGUUGAUUUGUGCUACUGUCUCUAAAUGUUUCCAGCUCAAGCUUUUGUAGAUGUUGUUAUGUGUGCAUGUGUUUUUAAUCCUCUAAAGCAUUUGUAAGGAAAGACUUUGUAAACUGUCAACCAGUCUGUACAUUUCAUCUCUUUGUACACUACAGAACAGCUCACAGUUCAUGAGACAUGCAAAGAGAAAGAAGCUGAGCGUGGAAGACUUCAAUAGAGCACUAAGGUGAAGCAAUACUGAGAUUGUUUGCGGCUAUGGUGCACAAGAUGCCUUACCAUUCCAUGCAUUAAAGGAAGGAGAGCUUUUCUUUGUAGAAGAUCAGGAGAUAAAUCUGGUGGAGUUGGCGCUUGCUACUAAUAUUCCCAAAGGCUGUGCAGAGACGAUGGUUCGAGUGCAUGUGUCAUAUCUUGAUGGAAAAGGCAAUCUGGAAUUUCAAGGGACAAGUAAACCUCAUAUUUGAAUUGAUUUGUCAGUGCCCUCUGCUGUUCAGUCUCAAUCAGAGGAUCUGCUGAAGUAUUACCAGCAAAUAACGCGAGGCAUUUUAGGAGAGGACCCACAUCUGAUGAAGGUACUUGUGCUAUCUUGUAAAAGUUUGGGGUGGCUUUGCUAGACCUCCAGUCCAAAGAUCGCUG